rnacentral:rRNA from 1 species
GACGAACGCUGGCGGCGUGCUUAACACAUGCAAGUCGAACGAUGAAAGAGGAGCUUGCUCCUCUGGAUUAGUGGCGAACGGGUGAGUAACACGUGAGCAAUCUGCCCCUGACUUCGGAAUAACUACGGGAAACUGUAGCUAAUACCGGAUAUGCGCCGAACAGGCAUCUGUAUCGGUGGGAAAGAAGUUCGGGCAGGGAUGAGCUCGCGGCCUAUCAGCUUGUUGGUGAGGUAACGGCUCACCAAGGCGACGACGGGUAGCCGGCCUGAGAGGGUGACCGGCCACAUUGGGACUGAGACACGGCCCAGACUCCUACGGGAGGCAGCAGUGGGGAAUAUUGCACAAUGGGCGCAAGCCUGAUGCAGCAACGCCGCGUGAGGGAUGACGGCCUUCGGGUUGUAAACCUCUUUUAGCAGGGAAGACGCGAAAGUGACGGUACCUGAAGAAAAAGCGCCGGCUAACUACGUG